CUUCAAUCAGAACUUGUUGAUUUAGAAGAGAAGGAGGCUCAGUUAAAAGCUCAUGUCAGGCAAAAAAAUCAGAAUGGCAGUGCUUCAAAUGGAGGAGCAUCAAAUGAAAAGAAGUCAAUCACCUCUAUUGAUGAUGUUUUGAUAGGAUUGGUAAAAUUGCUUUGUGAGCAGAGAAAGGAAAAAAGUGCAGAUCCAUCAUUGACCGAGUUCUAUUCGCAUACAUCAGAAAAAGGAUCAAAGUUGGGUUGGAGUUCAUGCUGAAUCUGCAUAUGUAAGUAUUUCGGGAAGUGUUAAUUGAAUUGAAUUUUAAAUCUGCACACAAGUCUUCUUCUCAUCCACCACAACCCACUAAUGAAAGUGAUCACACAAAUGAAGAUGGCGUCGAUGAAACAAAUGAAGAAGACCUUAGUAAUGAAUUUUGAUGUGUACUUUUUUCAUUUUGACUUAGUUUUUGGAUUGUAUUAUCUUUUUAACUUGUCAAACAAAUGAUUAGUAAUAACUUGAUUUUUUGAAUCAU